UUGGCCUCACGGUCUAAAAGUUAU
rnacentral:siRNA from 1 species